GGGUCCCUGUGAUGUCCAGCACUGGGCUCUGACCAUCUGAGGACAUGGUGCCUCCUGGGACCUUUGACACCUAGGAGUCUGAGGAGCCC